rnacentral:lncRNA from 10 species
CUUUCCGGCCGGACUGCCGCGCCUGUGGCCGGAAGAGCCAGCUAGACCAGAGAGUCUGUACCUGCAACCCUGGCGGCGUCCGAGCCCAAGGCGGAGUCUGGGAGACAAAGAAGUCCUCGCCGCCGGCCGCUGGAGGAUUCUGCCAGUAGUGAAAGAUGGGGUCUCGUUAUGUUGACCAGGCUGGUCUUGAACACCUGACCUGAAGUGAUCCUCUUGCCUCAGCCUCCCAUAGUGCUGCGAUCACAGGUGUAAGUCACUGAGUUUGGCCAUUAUUCCAUUUCUGUACACAAAAACCUUUCUCAUUCUGUGCUAUAACUAGUUAGCAUUUAAUUGGGUGGAUGUGGUAUAACUAGUGCCUUGUUGAUAUUGAUGCAUAUUUACAUGGUUUUGCUGUUAUAAACAAUGGUCCCUUGCUAUUAUAAAUCACACUGCUAUAAGUAACCUUGCAUCUAAAUUACUUCAAAUGUGUAACUAUAUGGGUAGGAUAAUUUCUAGAAGUGGAAUUGUGAACCAAAGUUUUAGGUGCAUUUGUAAUU